rnacentral:rRNA from 1 species
CCCUUAGAUGUUCUGGGCCGCACGCGUGCUACACUGACCGGCGCAACAAGCUUUUUUCCUUGGCUCGACAGGCCUGGGUAAUCUUCGAACGCCGGUCGUGAUGGGGAUAGAUCCUUGCAAUUUUUGAUCUUCAACGAGGAAUUCCUAGUAAAUGCGAGUCAUCAUCUCGCGUUGAUUACGUCCCUGCCCUUUGUACACACCGCCCGUCGCUCCUACCGAUUGAAUGGUCCGGUGAAGCGUUCGGACCGUGGCCUUUGGACGGUUCGCCGUCUGUUGGCUGCGGGAAGUUCGUUAAACCUUAUCAUUUAGAGGAAGGAGAAGUCGUANCA